rnacentral:lncRNA from 1 species
CCCUCUCAUCUUCUUUGUCUCCUGCAUGGACCGAUCCAUGGCGCUGCAUCGAAUCGAGCAUCGUCGUCGUCGCCCAUUGCCUGCUGGUCACCGCCGCCGCCGAAAAAGCUCGCCUCCGCGCCCCAUGCCUCGGAUGCUCCUCAUGCAUCUGCCCCCUUGCUCUCCUCGCUGUGCUCACGCCCCGCAAACCACGUGCUUGUGCCGACGGGGAGAGUAGAGGAGUAGACGACCACGACCUCCUCCUCCUCACGCAUGUGCCCCUCCCUCCGAUCCAUGGCGCUGCAUCGAAUCGAGCGUCCCCGUCAUCGCCCAUGGCUUGCAGGUCACCGCCGCCGCCGAAGAAGCUCGCCUACGCGUCCGCAUGCCUCGGAUCCGGCAGGCGCGCUGCCCCCUGGUCCUCCUCCUCAUGUAUCUGCUCUCUUCAUCUCCUCGCUCUCCUCACGCCCCGCGAUAGUGUCCUGAUCACUCGAACCCAUCUGGGUGGAGAACACCUAAUUUAGGUGGUCAGAUCCUUAUAUAACAGUAAGUUCACCAUGUCAGCCUAGUAAAAUCCAAUCUAAACACCAUGAAAUUUACAGAAUAAAAUACAAACAAGCAUGCUCAGUUAAAUCCUGCCUAUAGAUUAUAGAACUGUGAAAUGCCUAAACGAUGAUAUGCUAACACCUUCUACAAGCAUUCUGUCACUUAGCUGGUGUCAAAAUAACAACACAAUCAGCCAUGUUUAUCAAUAUAGAAGUUAUGUGGUUGUGUCGAUAUAAAAGACGCUGCACAAUAGUACCUUGGGUGGCAUCAGGAAGAUAGCCUUUCUGGAGGUGGCUCAGGCUUGUCCUGCAAACAACCCAUUAUAUAUAUCGGCAACAAACCAUGCGCGUGUGCGCGCACGCACACACACAUACAAGGAAAGAGAACCAUUGUUCUUCAGUUAUUUCCAUGUAAACAGAUUUUGAACGACAAUGUGAGAACAUGAGGACAUAAAGAUCACAAACAACAGUACAGGAAACAUAAACAUUCAUGUAGCGACCCUGUUAAAUAUUGUUCCCACUCAGCAGCUAUCCCAUAGAUAGAAAGGCGAACAACAAGGAACACAUGUAUGAGAUAAAUGGUGACCUACAGUCUUAUGUAGGCGCAUCAAUAAACUACACAACAUUCUUGGAGAAAAUAGAGAAUGCAAGAAAAUACAUACAAAUGCAUUGAGUCAAUAAUCAAAUAACAUACUUCUUAUUGUCUAUUUUGCUUGUAAUAACAAAGCCAAAACCAUUUGCUAUUUCAAACGUAAACUCACGCAUCUCUUUUACAAAUCAGACAAGAGCACCUACCAUCAAGAGCAGCCUGAAACAACGUCAUGAAGCAAGAAACAACAGUGGCACUAAAAACAUACUUUACUUUUGUAAGUGCGAACUUCUACUUCCAUCCAGCGACCAAAUUAUAGGACUGCCUUCUGCAAGGAUUUGAAGAAAAGAGUUACCCCAAAUGCAGACUUCUACAUAUGAGAAACUGCAACAACCUGCUUGUCCUCUUGUACAAAUUCCUCAUAUGAACAAUCAUAUUUCCAUGUGUAAAAUAUAAAUACAAAAUACUGGUUAUUCUACCCAUACAAGACAAGCUGAAGAAUAAUAAUCUAACCUUUCAUGGAUCACCAU